rnacentral:rRNA from 1 species
GAUGAACGCUGGCGGCGUGCCUAAUACAUGCAAGUCGAGCGAACGGACGAGAAGCUUGCUUCUCUGAUGUUAGCGGCGGACGGGUGAGUAACACGUGGAUAACCUACCUAUAAGACUGGGAUAACUUCGGGAAACCGGAGCUAAUACCGGAUAAUAUUUUGAACCGCAUGGUUCAAAAGUGAAAGACGGUCUUGCUGUCACUUAUAGAUGGAUCCGCGCUGCAUUAGCUAGUUGGUAAGGUAACGGCUUACCAAGGCAACGAUGCAUAGCCGACCUGAGAGGGUGAUCGGCCACACUGGAAGUGAGACACGGUCCAGACUCCGACGGGAGGCAGCAGUAGGGAAUCUUCCGCAAUGGGCGAAAGCCUGACGGAGCAACGCCGCGUGAGUGAUGAAGGUCUUCGGAUCGUAAAACUCUGUUAUUAGGGAAGAACAUAUGUGUAAGUAACUGUGCACAUCUUGACGGUACCUAAUCAGAAAGCCACGGCUAACUACGUG